AUGAACGCUGGCGGCGUGCUUAACACAUGCAAGUCGAACGAUGAAGCCCAGCUUGCUGGGUGGAUUAGUGGCGAACGGGCGAGUAACACGUGAGUAACCUGCCCUUAACUCUGGGAUAAGCCUGGGAAACUGGGUCUAAUACCGGAUAGGAGCGCCUACCGCAUGGUGGGUGUUGGAAAGAUUUAUCGGUUUUGGAUGGACUCGCGGCCUAUCAGCUUGUUGGUGAGGUAAUGGCUCACCAAGGCGACGACGGGUAGCCGGCCUGAGAGGGUGACCGGCCACACUGGGACUGAGACACGGCCCAGACUCCUACGGGAGGCAGCAGUGGGGAAUAUUGCACAAUGGGCGAAAGCCUGAUGCAGCGACGCCGCGUGAGGGAUGACGGCCUUCGGGUUGUAAACCUCUUUCAGUAGGGAAGAAGCGAAAGUGACGGUACCUGCAGAAGAAGCACCGGCUAACUACGUG
rnacentral:rRNA from 1 species